UUGGCGUCCCAAAGAGCUGAGAUUGCAGGAGUUAACCUCACCGAAAGAUACAACCGAUUUAAGAAGAAAAUGUUAAAACUCUCUUCAAGGGCCUAUAGAAGAAACGGGAUGAAUGGAAACGUGAUUCACUCUGUGGACUGGCAGAUACCUCUGGAAAUCUGGUGUUCUAUUGUAAUAAGUUCUCGGGAAGGUAGAGACUUUUAUUUGGGACAUAGAGGCUUGGCCAACCAGAAUGGAGGACCCACCCAAGUCCCGCCCCCAAGCCUGAGCCCUCUCCUUUGCUCCACCCACUCUGCCUGAAGUCCCCUCAACCCCUCCGACUUCGCAGUCUCCCAGCCCGGCCUUCUGGGGCUGGUCUUCAUUGGAAGCCACGCCCCCAGGUCUGUCGGAUAAACAUUUUACAACCUA
ensembl:lncRNA novel transcript